UUAAGAUGAAAAGAUGGCGUAUGGGUAUUUGAAAUUAAAAAAUAGUAUCAAUCAAGAUUUGUACAGUAAUAAAUACGUGACAGUGCCCAAAAUAUCGUGUAUAAGAUGACCUAUCGUUAGGAUUUAAACUUUAUCAUGAAAGGAAAUAUCCCUAAGGAGGAGAGGAGCAAUAUUUGAAUUUAGACGAAGAAUGGAAGCGAGCAAAGAAGUUGUCUUCAAUAUUAAAAUCAUUUCCAUGGAUUUCCUCACACUGAAAUGGAUUAUAAGCAGUGGCGGCUCGUGGCUUUAGGGACAGGGUCGGCAAGGUUUUUGUCUCCUCAGAUAGAUAUUCUUCUUUAGCGGCGAAUCGAUUGAGGGUAAAAUUGUACAUUUACCGCGCGCCUGCGCA
rnacentral:lncRNA from 1 species